rnacentral:rRNA from 1 species
UACGGGAGGCAGCAGUGGGGAAUAUUGCACAAUGGGCGAAAGCCUGAUGCAGCUAUGCCGCGUGUAUGAAGAAGGCCUUAGGGUUGUAAAGUACUUUCAUCGGGGAGGAAAAAACAAAACUAAUAAUUUUAUUUCUUGACGUUACCCGAAAAAGAAGCACCGGCUAACUCCGUGCCAGCAGCCGCGGUAAUACGGAGGGUGCUAGCGUUAAUCAGAAUUACUGGGCGUAAAGAGCACGUAGGUGGUUUUUUUAAAGUCAGAUGUGAAAUCCCUGGGCUUAACCUGGAACUGCAUUUUGAAACUGAAAUACUAGAGUAUCGUAGAGGGAGGUAGAAUUCUAGGUGUAGCGGUGAAAUGCGUAGAUAUCUGGAGGAAUACCUGUGGCGAAAGCGGCCUCCUAAACGAAUACUGACACUGAGGGUGCGAAAGCGUGGGGAGCAAACAGGGAUUUAGAUACC